UUUUAGCCCCGAUUGUAGUGGAAAUCCUUAUGACCCGGGGUUCGGGACAUAAGAUUGUAACGAAAAGCGGGAAACCCU
rnacentral:sRNA from 1 species